GGAAUAUUGGUCAAUGGACGCAAGUCUGAACCAGCCAUGCCGCGUGCAGGAUGACGGUCCUAUGGAUUGUAAACUGCUUUUGUACAGGAAGAAACAACUCUACGUGUAGAGUCUUGACGGUACUGUAAGAAUAAGGAUCGGCUAACUCCGUGCCAGCAGCCGCGGUAAUACGGAGGAUCCAAGCGUUAUCCGGAAUCAUUGGGUUUAAAGGGUCCGUAGGCGGUUUAGUAAGUCAGUGGUGAAAGCCCAUCGCUCAACGGUGGAACGGCCAUUGAUACUGCUAGACUUGAAUUAUUAGGAAGUAACUAGAAUAUGUAGUGUAGCGGUGAAAUGCUUAGAGAUUACAUGGAAUACCAAUUGCGAAGGCAGGUUACUACUAAUUGAUUGACGCUGAUGGACGAAAGCGUGGGUAGCGAACAGGAUUAGAUACCCUGG
rnacentral:rRNA from 1 species